UUGAGACAGGAAGGACAUCCAUCAACUAGAUAAAAAGGAUGAAGUAAUGUCGACAGAUUGGAUUGGAUAGGAUCUUCUGACGAUAAUUACCGAUUUUUAUAGUAUGGAAUUAGUGGAAUUUGCUCAUGAUAUUUUCUUUUGUAGCAACCACAGAUUUAAAAAAUAUAUAUAUUUUUCUUAUUGUGAGAAAUGAAAGUUAGUCCCUCUAAAUUGCAAUCAAUUUAUUUAAUGAGAAGGAGCUUUUUAGGAGAGGAUGAUGACAUGACACCACCGGCUGCCUAUUUUAGCUACAUCUAUCUAAUUAUUGACAAGUAACUCUAUUGACGUCAAGCCACAUUUGAUAGUUCCUCAUCUUCCUUUCCGCUGCCACCCAUUAGCACCUUGGUUGGUU
rnacentral:lncRNA from 1 species